GUCGAGAAUCUUUCACAAUGGGGGCAACCCUGAUGGAGCGACGCCGCGUGGAGGAUAAGGUCUUCGGAUUGUAAACUCCUGUCAUGCGUGAACAAGGUUGCUUGGAUAAUACCUGAGCAAAUUGAUGGUAGCGCAAGAGGAAGAGACGGCUAACUCUGUGCCAGCAGCCGCGGUAAUACAGAGGUCUCAAGCGUUGUUCGGAAUCACUGGGCGUAAAGGGUGCGUAGGUGGCGUGGCAAGUCAGAUGUGAAAGCCCGGGGCUCAACCUAGGAACUACAUCCGAUACUGCCAUGCUAGAGUACUGGAGGGGUGACUAGAAUUCUCGGUGUAGCAGUGAAAUGCGUAGAUAUCGAGAGGAAUACCAAAGGCGUAGGCAGGUCACUGGACAGUUACUGACACUGAGGCACGAAGGCCAGGGGAGCGAACGGGAUUAGAUACCCGGGUAGUCC
rnacentral:rRNA from 1 species